UGGAUGCUAUUGUGUUGUGGUAUGAGAAGAGGUUUUUUCCAAGAAAGAGGUUAAGCCAAAUAUGGAAAAUAAUUAUAUUUUUUCUUUCAGGAAAAGUAAAAGUAAUUAUGGUAACUUUUAUUUUCGUUCUAAGAAAAAGUAAAACUUAAAUAUAGUAAAAAAAUCAGGGCAAAAAUCCUAACAAAUCUCCCCUUUUUGACUUGAUUUUCUUCAAAAUAUUCUUGAUCCUCCUUCUUGUGCAUGAUCUUCGUUCUUCAUAUAUAUUUUUCAUAUAUCACUGCUGUUUGACAUAUUUAAAAAUGGAGCUUUUGGGGUUAAAAAAUAUAUUAGCCCUUUUUGGGUUAAAAAUAUUGGAGCCCUUUUGCAGAGUUAAAAGUGAGCUUUAUUUUCAAAUAUAUGACAGCAGGAUUGUUGAAAAUAUGAUUGACAAUUAUCUCCAUAUGUAGCUUUUGGACAUAUAUUUUCAUUAUCAUCAAAUUGGUUGCAGAUUGAUUUUGAAACCGCUUUGAACUUGUUUAAUCUCGUCUCACCACACCAUUGGACCAUUGAACCAUAAGCUAUGAUACCACUUGUUGGGUUUGAAAUCGAGAAGGCGUCAUGCGGAAGCUAUUCGUUGCAAACUAUGAAACGAUAAAUAAGGAGACAACGAAAAACAAUACUAAAAACAUAAUUUUAUUAUAUGAUUUGGCCAAUUGGCCUAUAAAUAAAACCUAAUAUUAAAAAUAAUAUUAAAAAAAUAUAAAACAAAUGAGAGAGAAAAUUUUCUCCUAAACGAGACUCUUUAAACGACUACAU
rnacentral:lncRNA from 1 species